rnacentral:rRNA from 1 species
GCGGUGGAUGAUGUGGUUUAAUUCGAUGCAACGCGAAAACCUUACCCACCUUUGACAUGUACGGAAGCCUUUAGAGAUAGAGGCGUGCUCGAAAGAGAGCCGUAACACAGGUGCUGCAUGGCUGUCGUCAGCUCGUGUCGUGAGAUGUUGGGUUAAGUCCCGCAACGAGCGCAACCCUUGUCAUUAGUUGCUACAUUCAGUUGGGCACUCUAAUGAGACUGCCGGUAACAAGCCGGAGGAAGGUGGGGAUGACGUCAAGUCCUCAUGGCCCUUAUAGGUGGGGCUACACACGUGCUACAAUGGGCGAGACAGAGCGACGCGAAGCCGCGAGGUGGAGCAAAUCGCAGAAAAUCGCCCUCAGUUCGGAUUGGAGUCUGAAACCCGACUCCAUGAAGGUGGAAUCGCUAGUAAUCGCGCAUCAGCAUGGCGCGGUGAAUACGUUCCCGGGCCUU